rnacentral:RNase_P_RNA from 1 species
GAAGUCCGCUGGACCGCCGCUGGUGCAAUCUGGGAAACCAGGCACUGGAGGAACGUCCGGACUGCAAAGGGCAGCGUAGGAGGUAACACCUCUCCACCGUGAGGUGAGGAUCAGAGCAACAGAGACGAGCCGGUUCAGUCCGGGUGAAACGGGCAAUCUCUACGCGCAGCAAUACCAAAUAGGCACACGCUGAGCAGCGCAGUUCGCUGCGACGCUCUACCCGGGGCCCCCGGGCUGUGUGCGGGUAGGUAGCACCGAGCCGGGUGGGCAACCCCCGGCCCAGAGUAAUGGCGGUCACGUCACGGGCAACCGUGACGCACAGAAUCCGGCUUACAGGCGGGCUUCACAC